CCUACGGGAGGCAGCAGUGGGGAAUUUUGGACAAUGGGCGAAAGCCUGAUCCAGCAAUGCCGCGUGAGUGAAGAAGGCCUUCGGGUUGUAAAGCUCUUUUGUCAGGGAAGAAACGGUGAGAGCUAAUAUCUCUUGCUAAUGACGGUACCUGAAGAAUAAGCACCGGCUAACUACGUGCCAGCAGCCGCGGUAAUACGUAGGGUGCAAGCGUUAAUCGGAAUUACUGGGCGUAAAGCGUGCGCAGGCGGUUUUGUAAGUCUGAUGUGAAAUCCCCGGGCUCAACCUGGGAAUUGCAUUGGAGACUGCAAGGCUAGAAUCUGGCAGAGGGGGGUAGAAUUCCACGUGUAGCAGUGAAAUGCGUAGAUAUGUGGAGGAACACCGAUGGCGAAGGCAGCCCCCUGGGUCAAGAUUGACGCUCAUGCACGAAAGCGUGGGGAGCAAACAGGAUUAGAUACCCUGGUAGUCCACGCCCUAAACGAUGUCUACUAGUUGUCGGGUCUUAAUUGACUUGGUAACGCAGCUAACGCGUGAAGUAGACCGCCUGGGGAGUACGGGUCGCAAGAUUAAAACGUCAAAGGAAUUGACGG
rnacentral:rRNA from 1 species